CCAAGUGCUAUACGCCAGUCUGGGCCUCGUCCAACUCUUCGCCAUCUGGCUCCAACUGGUAAUGCUCCGGCCUCUCGUGGCCUCCCUACUACCACUCAGAGAGUCGGGUCUGAGUGCCCGGACCGCUUGGCUAUGGACUUUGGUGGGGCUGGUGCCGCCCAGCAAGGGCUGACUGACAGCUGCCAGUCUGGAGGUGGUAUUGGAUGCACACAGAAGGGGGAAAGAUGGGAUUUGACGGGUCUUUGCCCAGACUGAUGGGCUUUAAUUGUAUUUGUUCUUUCCCUAAGGCGUUCCCACAGCUGUGCAGAACUUAGCGCCACGCGCUGCUGUUGCUGCUGCUGCUCCCCGGGCUGUUGCCCCCUACAAAUACGCCUCCAGUGUCCGCAGCCCUCAUCCUGCCAUACAGCCUCUGC
rnacentral:lncRNA from 10 species